CACAACCCAAGAGCGCCAGUACACGCGGAUCGUUAGGGCAACAAUCAUCGCGAUCUACAUCAUGAAGUUUUUAGCAUUGAUCUUCACUAUCUUUAUCGCGUUUGCGAUGGCAGCGGCACAAGGAUGCAUCUGUCCAGCGAUCUAUAAACCAGUGUGCGCAACGUCGGGCGAGACCUAUAGCAGCAUUUGUCAGCUGAAUUGCGCUAACGCCGAGUUUCUGCACGAAGGACCCUGUUCUAAUGCGUAAUCUGUCUGACUGUCUUCACCGAGGUUUUUCGUUCUUAUAAACAUUAAACUUAUUUGGUUUUACAUUGAAAUGUGAUUAUAAUAAAAAGUACGUCGUUA